rnacentral:lncRNA from 1 species
AGGCCUUGUUUAGAUCAAAAGUUUUGGAUUUCGACACUAUAGUACUUUCGUUUUUUAUUUGACAACAUUGUCUAGUUAUAAAGUAACUAGGCUUAAAAGAUUCAUCUUGCGAUUUACAGAACUGUAUAAUUAGUUUUUGUUUUUAUCUAUAUUUAAUGCUCUAUGCAUGUGCUACAAGAUUCGAUGUGACAGAAAAUGUUGAAAAGUUUUUGUUUUUUGGGUGAACUAAACAAGGCCCGAGUACCUGGGCCGUGUUUAGUUUGUGAAGCAAAAAAGAUCAUGACACUAUAGUAUUUUCGUUUGUUUGUGGUAAUUAUUAAACAAACAUGAACUAACUAGGUUCAAAAGAUUUGUCUCGUAAAUUCUAACCAAACUGUGAAAUUAGGCCUAAUCUUUUAGACGCAUGCAUGGAGU